GACUAAUGGGUUGGUGGAUGAGUGGUUCAUACUGUUGGUUUUCGACCGCUACGACCCGGGUUCGAAUCCCGCAUUGGGCA
rnacentral:tRNA from 1 species